rnacentral:rRNA from 1 species
GACGAACGCUGGCGGCGUGCCUAAUACAUGCAAGUAGAACGCUGAAGAGAGGAGCUUGCUCUUCUUGGAUGAGUUGCGAACGGGUGAGUAACGCGUAGGUAACCUGCCUUGUAGCGGGGGAUAACUAUUGGAAACGAUAGCUAAUACCGCAUAACAAUGGAUGACACAUGUCAUUUAUUUGAAAGGGGCAAUUGCUCCACUACAAGAUGGACCUGCGUUGUAUUAGCUAGUAGGUGAGGUAAUGGCUCACCUAGGCGACGAUACAUAGCCGACCUGAGAGGGUGAUCGGCCACACUGUGACUGAGACACGGCCCAGACUCCUACGGGAGGCAGCAGUAGGGAAUCUUCGGCAAUGGGGGCAACCCUGACCGAGCAACGCCGCGUGAGUGAAGAAGGUUUUCGGAUCGUAAAGCUCUGUUGUAAGUCAAGAACGGGUGUGAGAGUGGAAAGUUCACACUGUGACGGUAGCUUACCAGAAAGGGACGGCUAACUACGUG